UUGCCUAAUGGUGUCUCUUUGUUUUCAUUAUCCCCGAUUAACUCAGAACCCUGCUCCUGGGCCCCUUUGUGGAAACAGCUGUGCUGUGGAGGGAAGAGAGCAAGACCAAACAAAUGGAGGCCACACCUCGCCAUUGUAUAAACUCAGCCUAGGACCCAGGAGGGUACCACUCAUAUUCAAGGUGGAUCUUUCCCCUCAGUAGAACCUCUCCAGAAACACAUCCACAGACUCCCAUCUACAGCUGUUCCUGAGCCUCACAAGGUCUCCCUAAGCAGACAGAGAAAGUAAGACACCAUGGCCCCACAACCCUCAUGUCUUCAUGGUGGCUCCAAACAAGAAAGCUGCCUGCAAGGCAACCGCCAGGAUGCUCUGUUGUCUACAUUCCGUCAUGUUCGCAGCAAGGCUGCAGAAGCAGUCUGCCAGCUCUUCUUCCUCUUCUUCCUCCUCCUCUUCUUCCUCCUUUGCCCCCUCCCCCUCCUACUUGUACCUGCAUUCCUCCUUUGAGACAGGAGCUUGUUUUGUAGCUUGUUUUGGCUUGGACUAUGGCUCCUCCUGCCUCAGACUCCCCAAGUAUUAUUACAUUUGCAGCCACAGGCCCUACAAAACCACUUUCCUGAUGUACAGAGUCGCUAUCCAAAAACAUGUGAACAACGGACUCUUUCCAACUUCAUUGUGUAGUAGCUCCACUCAGUUUUUUUCUUUUUUUACCGUUUCAAUUCAAUACAGAUGCUUCUCACAACUGACUUACGAAGUUAGGCUUUGUGAUUCUGACCAAUGUGGUGUCAAAUAGAAAGAAUUUAUUUCAUUUAUUCAUUCAAGUAUCAAGCUUUUUACCGAGUAUGGUUGCUCUUACCUGUAAUUCCAGCACGCACUUGGGAGGCAGAGGCAGGAGGAUUACUAGGAAUCUGAGGCCACUCUAGGUUACAGAGUUAAGUUGUAGACCCACGGGCCUUGGCUAGAGAGUGAGACUGUCACAAAUAAAUAGUUUGUGCUCUAUGCCAGGCACUGCUCUAAAUCCUAAGGAAUUAGUGAUGGACAAGACAAAGUCCCUGUUGUCACUGAGUUUACUUUCUCAUGCAGAACGGGAAACAACUAAAAUUCGAAGACUAGAAGGAAAUAGUUCUUCCCAGAGCAUUGAAGACAUGUUGCACAGACAGGUCUUCCAUGGCUAAUUUAGACAGAGUGCUCAGGUGAGUUCUCAGGAGGGAACAUUUAGGAGAGAUCUGAAGGAUAAAGACAGAGCCAACCAAGCUCAAGGGAGCAGCAUUCCCGGCAAGGGAAUAACUAAUACCAAACCAUCAUAGCAGGAAUGGGAAGUAGGCUGCUCUGACUGGGACACUGUGGUCAGAGGUAAACCAGCUCUGUUUGCAAAAGGCUUUGGGAGCAAAGGGGGGGGGGGCUACUGUAGGUGGGAUGGGAAGGUUCUGGAGAGUUUAUCUUGUUUUCUGCUUUUGUUUGAGAUUGUGUCUUGCUAUGUAGUCCGGGCUGACCUCGAUUUCACAGCGCCUCCUCCUUCCUCGGUGCUGCCAUGCUCAGCUUAUUGGGGAGUUAACCAGUUGGUGAGGAGGUUGGAUUUGCUGUUUUGUUUGGUUGGUUCUUUGGUUGUCAUUGUUUUUGGAACUAGAUCUCAUGUAGCCCAGCCUGGCUUCGAGCUCCCAGCAAUCUCAAACUCACAGCAUUCUUUGUGCUUCACUCCUCCGAGUGCUGGGAUCACAGGCAAUACCGCUCCAUUCACCUCUUCUGAAUUCUGGGAGGCCAAGCAUACAAAUGCCAACGCAGGGUAGACAGUGACCUAAGGGAGUUCAGAGAUGUUAGGGGCUAGUUAUACAGAUUUGAGCAUCAUUGAUCCAGAAGUGUACUUCAAACCAUGGGACUCGAUGAAUCCCCAGGUGGAAGAUAUGAACAGAGGAAAAAAGAGUUGUGAUCUGUAUCUUUAGAGCCCACCUACCAUCAGAGGCCUUUGAAGAAGAGGGAGCUGACAAAACAGGAGCAGAGAAGCUUGGUAUGGUGGUGAAUGCCUAUAACCUCAGUUACCCAAGAGAGUAGCUGAGAAUCAUGAGUUCAAGGACAACCUGGGACAUAUAGGAAGAGUCUGUCUCUACAUUUCAAAAAGGAGAACUGGGCUAGCUUAUUGGCUGACUUCUCUAGUAUGCGUGCCUCAGUUUGAUCCCAAGUACAGAAAAACAAAACAGAAUUAACUAGCCAGUGUGUAAGAAAGGGGAAGAAUAGGAAAAGCUAGGUGACCCUAGAGUCCUGGAAGCCUUCAGAAGGAGUGAUCACCGGGAUCAACCUACCCCAGGACCCAGCAAUUCCACUAUUGGGAAUCUACCCAAGAGAUGCCCAAUCAUACAACAAAAGCAUAUGCUCAUCUAU